AACAAAAAGCUCAUCCAGAGAAAUGUUCCCAGGAGAGCGAAGGGCCAAGGACUGAUGAAACUGAGAUAUUUAUCCCUGACACCAGAUUCCCUGGGGCCAGCACGAGGGUUGGCAUCAAAUACAAAAAAGGGCUAACGUGUAUAAGAAAGAUCUGCAUCAUUCUAUAUAGCUUUGGAGAACCAGUGAGUGGAAGUAUAAAUAAAUCAAGAUUUCCAUUUACAACAGAACAAGGAACAGGAGAAAAGAUGGAAAAAAGGGAAGGAGGAAAAAACCAAAAAGAAUCUUCUAACAAUACAAACUUAUUGAACUGAAUAGGCUGAAGUGGACUGACUACCUGGGGAUUUGAAUGGCCCUUCCCAGGGCAAGUCUGUCCCAGAAGCAGCAGGAGGCAGGCUCCCCGGAUGGCAAGAACCAACAGCAACUUCACUCUUCUCGUCAAUGUCCAAUGAGAGCGAGCUGAGGAUCACUGAGAUAAGUGGGGACAGGUCACAGCACACUAUUUGUGGAAAGUGGAGAAGGAUGGCGGGGUUAGGGAGAGGUCUCAGUCACCCUUGUGAUUUCCCACAGUCUCCUCAGAUGCUGACUUCCAAAGGAGGCUGGUGACACUCUGUCGGAUGACACAGCCACCUCACGCACCAUGUGGUGUGAUGUGAUGAGAAGAACAGGAACCUGCACCCCCAUGGAGCAGGUCAAAUAAGCAGCCCAUGCCUGCUGGGACACACUCAUUGCAGGAAAAGAAGCAAAGGAAAAGAGAUGAAAGCCACGAAACUUUACAAUAUUGUCUGUUGGAUGAUUUUCAAGAGUAGGAGCAUACACUGUUUGGUUUCUAAAACUUCCUUCUUAUAAGUUGCAGCCAGGAAACUUGUAAAUGAGAAUAUGGUGCCAGGCUAUCACGGAAGCUCAGAGUGGAAAUUUUUUAAAGCUCAUGGGUAGGGCUUACCCCAAGUAAACCCUCUCCAAAAAGAGAUGCAUCAUGGGCUUCUGAACAGCUCUGCCCAUUUGCCAUCCUUAUUAAAGUCCCCCAACAGG